rnacentral:hammerhead_ribozyme from 1 species
AUUCAUCUGACGAGUCUCAAAUAGGACGAAACGUGCGUCCUGGAU